AUUCUGCUUGGGGGACUGUGAUAGAAUAACUGGUAUUGGAUUAUCUCUCCUGUGGUAAACAAUCACAAAACAAGAAAGAUACAUGAAGCAACAUCAGAAUUGGAAAACAGGAAAUGCAAAGGAUGAUCCCUGAGAGAAACUUGGGAGGAGACAUCCAGGGAGGAUAAGGCUAGGCGGAAGGAAACUUUGGAAUCAAACAUGAUCACCUCAGGCCUUGUCCAGGAUGAAUCCAGAUCACCAGACCAAGGGAUUACCAUAUUCCAGGACUUAAUUGGAAUCUAGGACCCAGGAACUUAUCUCAGUAUGCCUCCUUUGGCUUCCUGCUACCUGGAUUUUAACUUCCUAGCCAAAUCUGUUGGUUAUAUAAAGCAGAUUCAGCUCUAGCCCACAUCUGAGUAACAGACAUCAUCAUCAACGCUUGGCAAAAAUGAAAGUGUGAAAUGUGAGUCAGUUGUUUUAUUCCACUUCCUAGUGGAGAGAGACAGUUUCUAAUCCUAUGUGAAUCGAGUCAUUCAGGAAGAAGCUCUAUCCCGGAGAAUUAUUCAGACAGCAAUUGCAGUCGCACUUCAUUAGCCCCAGGCUGACUCAGGGGGCCCAGGACCUGACAUCUCGGGCUUGCUGUAGAACAGCUGCUGUUGGCCAUCAUACCAGGCUGGCCUCUUACUCAGUCUCUGAGCACCUGUAUUUCUUCCUUUAGCAAAUGACCACAAUUAUCAUUAUUACCUAUUUAAGUGUAGCACAACCAGUUUUUGAUGUUAUAUUCAUCCUGCCCCAACACACAUGCUAUCUUCUGUGGAGGUAGGUUCCAGCCAGUGGAAGGCAUGUUCUUUGUUGGACCCUGAGAUGAUGCCAGUGAGCAAGGCUGGAGGCAGACUCAGAAGCAGCACUGAAUUGCUCACCAUGAUGGGGAUGUGAGGGGAAUAGGAAAACUAAAGUUCUAGAGGGAAAUCUAGGAAGAAGAAGGUACAAAACAGCCAGGUCCAGAACUGCUUCAGCAAAGGAUAGCGAAAACUCAAAGAUGGAGAUCAGACACUUUCCAAGAGAAUUUGGAGUAUUUCACUGAGGUGUGUAACAAUGGAAACCAAACUCCUUUCUCUAUGUCCUAGAUGGAAUCUUGGUCAACACCUAUGUUUUUCAUUAAUGCUUUUAGUGUAGAAGAGAUUGUCUAUUUAUUUAUUUGAAAGAAGAGAGAUGAUUUGUCUUUCAUCCAGGUUACCAGGAGAUCAAAAUAGAGUCAGCUCAGAGGUCAGUGACAUUUGAGUUACUUGUGUAAUUAAGGUAUUUGCUUAAUGCCUACCCCCCUACCCCAACCUAAUCUAUGAGCUGCAUGAGGAUAAAAAUUGUGCCUCUUGUUAGCAUAUCCCAGUACUUGGCACAAUGUUGGCACAUAAAGGGUGUUCAAUUAUAUGUUGGAUGAAUACACAAAUGAAUGACUCCACUUGGUGGCUCCAUACAACUUCUGACCCCCAGCUGAAAUGAAGUGUAAAAGAUGAUAUUCCUUUGUCCCUUUGCCCAGAGUCUAGAGGGCGCUAUAGUAGACUAAUGAUUUGGAGGAUGAUGAGUCCAGCAGCAGCAGCUUUUAGGGCCAUCCUUUUACACAGACACUUUUUGGCCCCAGUGUGGUGGAACCAUUGGCUGACAACAGAGCUGGGAAUAAUAUACCAUAUGUGAGAAAGAAUACAGGCCAUCCAUGUACCCUCUUUCUUUGCAGUGGAGGAAGCCGGUCUGAUUUACAUAAGUAUUAAAGUCACAACAGUGCUAUGGCAUUUUGCAUGCUGAUUUAUAAGAAAAUAAAAAUAAAGCUCUGUGUGAAGAAUUGCAUUCGGUCUUUCCCUGUUUACCCUCUGGGAACUUUCAUUGUAAAAAGAACUUGAACUCUCAGUUGUACUCAAUUGUGACACUUAGGAAGAAAUAUAAAGUAUAUGUAGUUGCAAUAACCUUCAAUUUUUUCCUUAGGCUAAAAUGAAACUUAUUAAGUUGAGAAGGAAACUGUACAGCGGCUGCAAUGUAUCACUAAGAGUGGUAUUUUAAAUCAGAAGAUGUGG
rnacentral:lncRNA from 1 species